rnacentral:rRNA from 2 species
GAUGAACGCUAGCUACAGGCUUAACACAUGCAAGUCGAGGGGCAGCAUGGAAGAAGCUUGCUUCUUCUGAUGGCGACCGGCGCACGGGUGCGUAACGCGUAUCAAACCUGCCUCAUACUCGGGGAUAGCCUUGCGAAAGUAAGAUUAAUACCCGAUGUUGUUAUGUUACCGCAUGGUGACAUAACCAAAGAUUUAUCGGUAUGAGAUGGUGAUGCGUCCGAUUAGGUAGUAGGCGGGGUAACGGCCCACCUAGCCUUCGAUCGGUAGGGGUUCUGAGAGGAAGGUCCCCCACACUGGAACUGAGACACGGUCCAGACUCCUACGGGAGGCAGCAGUGAGGAAUAUUGGUCAAUGGACGAAAGUCUGAACCAGCCAAGUAGCGUGCAGGAUGACGGCCCUCUGGGUUGUAAACUGCUUUUAGUUGGGAAUAAAAAAGAGGACGUGUCCUCUAUUGUAUGACCUCAGAA